CAAUAGCGUAUAUUAAAGUUGUUGCGGUUAAAAAGCUCGUAGUUGGAUUUCUGUUGAGAACGGGCGGUCCACCUCUUGGGUGAGCAUCUGCAACGGUCUCGGCAUCCUCUCGAAACUCGUUGCUGCGCUUGAUUGCGUGGUGCGGUGUUCGGGACUUUUACUUUGAGGAAAUUAGAGUGUUCACGGCAGGCAAUCGCCUUGAAUAUAUUAGCAUGGAAUAAUACUAUAGGAUCUUGGUUCUAUUUUGUUGGUUUCUAGAGCUAAGAUAAUAAUCAAUAGGGACAAUUGGGGGCAUUCGUAUUACGGCGUCAGAGGUGAAAUUCUUGGAUUGCCGUACGACGAACUACUGCGAAAGCAUUUGCCAAGGAUGUUUNCAUUGA
rnacentral:rRNA from 1 species